GCAGGAUGGCUCCCAAGAAACAAAGGAAAAGCCAGAGAAUGCUCCUGGGACAGCAGUGCAGGAGAGGAAGCCUCCAGGAGGCUGGUGUUGGAGUUGGCCCACGUUGGUGCUGAAUGCCAAGGCCCCUGGCAGGAGGAAAUGAUCCAGCAGCAAAGAGAAGGCUUGGUCAAGCUCCAGGAGGGAGUCAAGGUGCUACAGAGGCAGCAGUCCUCAAGUGAGUGUGGCUGUCUCUGGAAAGGGAGGAUGGAUCCAUGUGGCAGACCCCAUGUCCUGUGCUGGUGGAGCCCAGAACACCAGGGAGUCAGAGCCAGAAGCAAGCAGACCCCUGGCUCUGUGCUGCUGUCUUCAAGGCAAGACAGAGCAGGUAUCACCUAAAGGAGCCAACCCUUGGGUGUUGUGGUCUUGCAAAGCUUUCCUUUAGAUCUAAGGGAGGUACUUUUGAUGAGGAGGAUGGUGAGACACUGGAACAGGUUGCCCAGAGAGGUGGGAGAUGCUCCAUCCCUGGAAUCUUUCAGUCAGGUUGUCUGGGGCUCUGAGCAACCUGCUCUACAUGUCCCUGUUCACUGCAGGGGAGCUUGGACUAGAUGACCCUGAAAGGUCUCUUCCAACCUAAACCACGCACAAUUCCAUGACACUGUAUGCUGUGAGAGUCUCCUCCUCACCCUAACUCAUGCUCUUUUGACCCCUUUCCAUCAAGCAGGUCCCUGUAUGGAAAGUAGGUCCCUGUCUGGGAAAGCAGCACCAUCUCUGUUAGAAGCUACCAGGAGAGCAGCAGGUUGUGAUGCAACCUCUGAGCUGCCACCUGGAUGAGAGCUCUGCACCCUGCUUCGGUAGAGAAAGCAAUGUCCAAACCUUCAGGCAGCUUCAGACAGCAGUGCCUGCAGGUGCAGACUUCCCUCCAUAGUCUAUAGAGCUCUCCAGGAGUGGUCUCCAUGAGUCGAAACGUUUCUCCAAGUGGCUGAGAUGUGAAGCCACAGCACAUCACACAGGCAGUGGAAGGAGUCAGAGGGUCUUGUUUGCCUCCAGCUGCCACGGUGAAGGGUUCAGAGCCAUUGAUGCUUCUGCCAAAAGUCUUAGCAGGGAUCAUGGUCCAGAAAACAGGUGUCAAGAAGGAGUCUGCAGUCACAUCAGGAGCACAACUGAAGGCCACCAAGGUCUUUGGCCACUUUUCUAACACAGAGGAUCACACGAAGCUGGCAAUGGGGCAGUGAGCUUGGAGAUGGCUGCUGUGACCUAUCCCAGAGAGAAGAUAAGUGACAUGUUAAAGCUGUCCCCAGAGCAACCUGAGGGUAGCUAUUAGGGAUAAAAGGGGUGAGGUGGGGAAUUAAUGAAAGUAUAAACGAUUUGUUCAUGCAAACUCCUCACCUCGACGAUCUUAAAGCUCUCUUUCAGCCCGAAACAGUGCUGGGAUUUUGUGGCCGUGGUGGUUCCAGGCUGAGCUGUGUGAUGUUGAGCCUCCCAACUCACCCCUUCGCCGAUGCCUGGAGCUGGCAGGGGCGCAGGGACCUGCAGAUACACCUGUAGCUGCUGAAGACACUUCCAACCUCCC